CGGUGGAACAUGUGGUUUAAUUCGAAGCAACGCGAAGAACCUUACCAGGUCUUGACAUCCCGAUGCUAUUUCUAGAGAUAGAAAGUUACUUCGGUACAUCGGUGACAGGUGGUGCAUGGUUGUCGUCAGCUCGUGUCGUGAGAUGUUGGGUUAAGUCCCGCAACGAGCGCAACCCCUAUUGUUAGUUGCCAUCAUUCAGUUGGGCACUCUAGCGAGACUGCCGGUAAUAAACCGGAGGAAGUGGGGAUGACGUCAAAUCAUCAUGCCCCUUAUGACCUGGGCUACACACGUGCUACAAUGGUUGGUACAACGAGUUGCGAGUCGGUGACGGCGAGCUAAUCUCUUAAAGCCAAUCUCAGUUCGGAUUGUAGGCUGCAACUCGCCUACAUGAAGUCGGAAUCGCUAGUAAUCGCGGAUCAGCACGCCGCGGUGAAUACGUUCCCGGGCCUU
rnacentral:rRNA from 1 species